rnacentral:rRNA from 1 species
GGUUGUAAACUGCUUUUAUACAGGAAGAUACACUGCUACGUGUAGCAGCUUGACGGUACUGUAAGAAUAAGGCCGGCUAACUCCGUGCCAGCAGCCGCGGUAAUACGGAGGGUCCAAGCGUUAKMCGGAAUCAKUGGGUUUAGAASGGUUCGSAGCGGUCAAUUAAGUCAGAGGUGAAAUCCCAUAGCUUAACUAUGGAACUGCCUUUGAUACUGGUUGACUUGAGUUAUACGGAAGUGGAUAGAAUGUGUAGUGUAKCGGUGAAAUGCAUAGAUAUUACACAGAAUAMGCGAUUGCGAAGGCAGUCCACUACGUAUAUACUGACGCUACACUGGACGAARACGUGGRGAGCGAACAGGAUUAGAUACCCUSGUAGUCCACGSCGUAAACGAUGGACACUAGUUGUUGGGCAUUAGCUCAGUGACUAAGCGAAAGUGAUAAGUGUCCCACCUGGGGAGUACGAUCGAAGUUG